UCUCUUUCCCUCUCACCACCGGUCACCCUUUCUUGCCUUUCAACUUUUAAUUUUUUCAACAGCUAAAGCUGCUUAUUUUUGCUUCAAAAUCAGUAGCUAUGCUGCUCUGUUUUUUUCUUAAAAUUUCAGCAGCUACGCUGUACCUUUCGCUCCAAAAAUUUGCAGCCAAAACAACCAUAAUUAACCAUCAAAACAGAACCUCAAAACUUUCAAUUUUCUGCUGCAAAAUUCUGCACUUUUUGGCCUCCAAAACCAGCAAAAAAAUGGUACUUUCUAGCCUCCAAAACUAGCAAAAAAAUGGCUCUUUUCAGCCUCCAAAAUCAGCCCUUAAAUGGCUCUCUUUUCCUUCUUGAAUGGUAGCAAAAACAGCCCCUCAACUCAACUCUCUUUUCCUUUUGUUUUCCUUUCUCAUGCACGGUUUUCUUUUUGUUUUUCUUUCUCUCGGUUCUUUCUUCUUCC
rnacentral:lncRNA from 1 species